CAGGGAGACAACAAAAUGUUUAAUUUUAUUAUUUUGUCACCUUAGGUCGAUCGGUAUCUCACGUUCUUAUAUCUUUUAAGAAAUUCAUUUUCUAAGUUUUUUCUAGGUCACACCCAUUUUUUUCCUGGGCCAUUAGCUCAGGUGGUUAGAGCGCACCCCUGAUAAGGGUGAGGUCCCUGGUUCAAAUCCAGGAUGGCCCAUAUCUCUAUGUUGGGGGUAUAGCUCAGUUGGUAGAGCGCCUGCUUUGCAAGCAGGAUGUCAGCGGUUCGAGUCCGCUUACCUCCACUGAUUACCACCUCUGUCAUAUUUUUACAAAGGAAAUAUUUUGGUUGUGAUCAAAUUCUGGACGAAUCUAGCUUCCUAAUGAAACCAUUAAGAUGCUGGACUCAUUGAAUUAAAUUCAUUGUUUUCAGAGAACCUUGACAACUGCAUAGAUUAUUUUAAAGACAAUAAGCAUCUUUAAUGAUGCAGAUUUAUUAUUUGUGCGAAUGCAUUAAUAACAAUUCUAUUAAGCUGAUGCUUCAAUUUUGAAGUUAUU
rnacentral:tRNA from 1 species